ACUCGCGUGUGUCCGAAGCAUUUUGGCGGGAUUAGGGGAGUUUGAGGACAAGUUGCUCUGCUCUAAAGCCCUAAAAAUAUGGAGUCGCAAUCCUUCUGUCGUAGGGCUUCCCCCUCGACAUUGAUCGCUUUCAUCAACUGGAAACCGAGUUCGAGAGAGGAGGCAAGGAGUACGGCUUCAAUUUUCGCCGAAAUGUUUAUAGGAUUUACCACUUGACAAAAGCUGCGCAUUUUAUAGAGAGGCUGAUGUUCCAAAUGAGAGGGCUUCCCACCACUCCAGACUUAAGUCCUAUGGGUGAUUUAAGCACAAGUGCGGCGAUGAUGAGAAUACAGACUCUGGUUUAAUUGAAACUGAGAUUGUUUCUGUGAGUAUUUCUCAAGCACUUUUGAGCCGUUUGUGGGAAUACUUGGAUGAAUCUAUUUCCUGAGUGUUUCUUUCAAAUGCAAUAAACCAGCCCAUGACAUUCUUGUCUGUCUCCGAUAAAAACUUUCUAUGCAUUUUAUAAGACGAGCAUCCAAAAUCCUUCUGUUUGGAGUUAUUUUUCGUACGAAGUUAUUUUAAAUCAAAAGUGGAGUAGUGGAGUUUGAAUAUUUAACCAUCUAGUCAUGUGCAGGUUCGUUCUUUAUCAAGUUUCAAGUACCUUGAUUUGGUGAUGUUACUUGGAAACAGAGCGUGUACACAGUUCUUCUGCCUGUUCCCAACUGCUGAACCUUUAUUUGUUAAUAAAGCUUGUCGUGGCUAUGCCCAUCCAACUCACAAUGUGUAUGUAUAAUAAAUUUAGUAUUGUUUAUGAGAGGAAUUCAAUUUAACCCUAUAUUUAUUCCAUCUAUUCCUUUCUUAGUACCA